rnacentral:tRNA from 1 species
UCCCUGGCAGUCCAGAGGUUAGGACUCCACACUUCCACUGCAGUGGUCCUGGGUUUGAUCCCUGGUCAGGGAA